AGUGAACGCUGGCGGUAGGCCUAACACAUGCAAGUCGAACGGCAGCGCAGUAAGAGCUUGCUCUUACGGGUGGCGAGUGGCGGACGGGUGAGGAAUACAUCGGAAUCUACUUUUUCGUGGGGGAUAACGUAGGGAAACUUACGCUAAUACCGCAUACGACCUACGGUUGAAAGCAGGGGAUCUUCGGACCUUGCGCGAUUGAAUGAGCCGAUGUCGGAUUAGCUAGUUGGCGGGGUAAAGGCCCACCAAGGCGACGAUCCGUAGCUGGUCUGAGAGGAUGAUCAGCCACACUGGAACUGAGACACGGUCCAGACUCCUACGGGAGGCAGCAGUGGGGAAUAUUGGACAAUGGGCGCAAGCCUGAUCCAGCCAUACCGCGUGGGUGAAGAAGGCCUUCGGGUUGUAAAGCCCUUUUGUUGGGAAAGAAAAGCAGCAGGUUAAUACCCCGCUGUUCUGACGGUACCCAAAGAAUAAGCACCGGCUAACUUCGUG
rnacentral:rRNA from 1 species